rnacentral:rRNA from 1 species
AGCGAACGCUGGCGGCAGGCCUAACACAUGCAAGUCGAGCGCCCCGCAAGGGGAGCGGCAGACGGGAGAGUAACACGUGGGAACGUACCCUUCAGUACGGAACAACCAAGGGAAACUUUGGCUAAUACCGUAUACGUCCGUAAGGAGAAAGAUUUAUCGCUGAAGGAUCGGCCCGCGUCUGAUUAGCUAGUUGGUGAGGUAACGGCUCACCAAGGCGACGAUCAGUAGCUGGUCUGAGAGGAUGAUCAGCCUCACUGGGACUGAGACCCGGCCCAGACUCCUACGGGAGGCAGCAGUGGGGAAUAUUGGACAAGGGGCGCAAGCCUGAUCCAGCCAUGCCGCGUGGGUGAUGAAGGCCCAGGGUUGUAAAGCCCUUUCGGCGGGGAAGAUAAUGACGGUACCCGCAGAAGAAGCCCCGGCUAACUUCGUGCCAGCCGCCGCCGUAACAC